rnacentral:rRNA from 1 species
UGGACCUCAGAUCAGGCAAGAUCACCCGCUGAAUUUAAGCAUAUCACUAAGCGGAGGAUA